CCUCUGCACUUCCUCUUUGUCUGCGCGCACAGCAAGGGAAACGGGAAGAAAGAUGGAUUCAUUUACAGCAGCCGCCACACACAGGCUAUGAUUCUCAGGGUAUUUUACAUCAAACGGGAAACAGAAAGCACGCGAGGAGGAAGAGAGACCAUGUCUACUCCAAUGGGCCGAGAGCUCCCCAGGCCAAGGUGGAUGUAGUACAACGAGGGAGAUACAUGCAGGAACAAAGAGAAUCACGACACAGUGUCCGCUGGUGAGGACAGGUGGCCGGAAGAGCCUGGCAGGACAGCUGUCAUGGUAACAGGGUAGAGGUGAGGUGCUGAUUCAUGGACAGGAGGAGGAGCCAGAGGACAGGAAGUGGAGGAGAAAGGGCCCAGUGGUGAUGGGCUCAGCAGAGGCCAUUGAUCGGCCAGUUCCCGGGAAGCUGUCCAGGAGGUGACGAGUGGACCCUGAAUCAGCGCAGCAUCUCAGCAGACCAAGUGCAGGACCCUCAGCCACCGUUACCUUUGAUUUCGGGGUAGUAGAGGAAAGGCUUAGGCUCGCUGGUUUCCAAAUCCGACUUCCUCCGAAGCUGGACAAACACAGAAGCCGGCUUGGUGAUGUUGAUGUCUUUAUACUUCGGGGUUUUGAAGACGAUGGCAAACUGCAGGACACAAGGAAACACAUGUUGGUGUUGGGUUGUGGCGUUUUUGGGAGAAAUGCUUCACAUUCUCUGUUUUUAUUUAAACCCAGUGUUUAAAGUGUGCUCUGAGAACGCAGCACCCUAAGGACGUUCCCAGCUCAGUAUUCUACACCUGCACGCUUCUGUGACACCACCGCUGUGGAGGUGAAACACACUGUGCCCGUGGACCCCGCGUCUCCCUUGCUUCAUUCGCCAGAUAUUUCAGUUGUCAGCCAGUUGCAAUGACCACACAUACAACGUUCACUGCAUAUGCUUAUUUCUCCUCUUUCAAAUCAGCCUCACAAGCCUCCAAGACCACUUCUAGCAACGUCAGAAAGGCUGGGUACUUGCUUUCCUAGCCAAGGAGGAGAACAAGGGCUAUUUCAUCCCUGUGGUGCUGGGAUACUUAGGCAAUUCACCAUUUGUUAGUUUGGUUUAUAUUUUACUACGUAACAGGAGUCUAGAUUUGGUAAACUACACAAAAGGAACACAGAAUGGUGUACACGGAUAACUGUCCUUGCCCCCACUGCCCCGAAUCCACCAACCCCUAAGCCUGGCAGCCCCAGCCUCAUGGACUCUGUCUUUCGUUUGCUACAUCCCCCUCUGGUUUCUCUGUGAACAAGGUAUCAUUUUACACUCACGCUGUUCUAUAACUAUCUUUUAAACGGUAAUGUUGUACCUUUGCGGUCUCCCUCCGUGAGUUCAGAGUAUUCGUUCUUUUUAAUAACUGCAUGGUAUCUUAGAAAUGCCAUGAUUUACCGAACUGUUGCUUAUUGAUCAGCAUUUGAAUUGUUCUCAGUUUUUUAUGAAAACAGUGUUUCUCAAUCAUUCGUAAGAGGGAGAGAGUCAUCGUGAAGGGGAAGGCUCAGCAUUUUUGUCUCCUGGUCAUACCAUGGGCUGUCACUGGGGAGUCCUAGUUCAUCAUAGAAGCCCCCUCCUUUCUAUACUUUCCAGGGCAAUACUGUCUCACAGGCCUUGCACAACGCUUCAACAGAACACUUAGCAGGCUUUCAUGGAAAGGCACCGCCCUGGGACAGAGAACCAGGCCCCAAAUGAAAUGUCCCACCUCAGCCCCGUGGUCCAGGGAGAACUGGCCUGCAGUUCUACGGUGGGACAGAUUUCUAGAUGGCUUGAGAGUCUCAAAAAUAGUACAGUUUGAUGGAUGCUGGGUCAGCACUUCUGAUGUUUUUGGUUGUCAUAUACAGAAAACAGGGACUGAAUUUCAGCAAGGUGAAAUGUAAAAGAUGAUGAUGAUCCUCUUA